rnacentral:rRNA from 1 species
UACGGGGGGAGCAAGCGUUGUUCGGAUUUACUGGGCGUAAAGGGCGCGUAGGCGGUCAGCACAAGUCAGUUGUGAAAUCUCCGGGCUUAACUCGGAAAGGUCAACUGAUACUGCGGGGCUAGAGUGCAGAAGGGGCAACUGGAAUUCUCGGUGUAGCGGUGAAAUGCGUAGAUAUCGAGAGGAACACCUGCGGCGAAGGCGGGUUGCUGGGCUGACACUGACGCUGAACUGCGAAAGCUAGGGGAGCGAACGGG